rnacentral:rRNA from 1 species
UACGUAGGUGGCAAGCGUUGUUCGGAAUUAUUGGGCGUAAAGGGCGCGUAGGCGGCAUGUUAAGUCGGCUGUGAAAGCCUGGGGCUCAACCCCAGAGGGUCGGCCGAUACUGGCAAGCUAGAGUACGGAAGAGGUAGCUGGAAUUCCAGGUGGAGCGGUGAAAUGCGUAGAGAUCUGGAAGAACACCAAAGGCGAAGGCAGCGUUCUGGGAAGCAACUGACGCUCAUGUGCGAAAGCUAGGGGAGCGAACGGG